rnacentral:rRNA from 2 species
GCACUCCCGGGGCGUCUCUUUCUCAUUGCGAGUGGAGGCGCACCCAGAGCGUACACGCUGAUACCCGAAAGAUGGUGAACUAUGCCUGGCCAGGACGAAGCCAGGGGAAACCCUGGUGGAGGUCCGCAGCGAUUCUGACGUGCAAAUCGAUCGUCGGAGCUGGGUAUAGGGGCGAAAGACCAAUCGAACCAUCUAGUAGCUGGUUCCCUCCGAAGUUUCCCUCAGGAUAGCUUGCGCUCACGUGAACGAGUCUCAUCCGGUAGAGCGAAUGAUUAGAGGCCUUGGGGUCGAAACGACCUCAACCUAUUCUCAAACUCCAAAUAGAUGAGAACUCCGGCUUUCUUGAACUUUGUUUUUGAAGCCGGGGGCUCGGAUCAGAGUGCCAAGUGGGCCAAUUUUGGUAAGCAGAACUGGCGCUGUGGGAUGAACCAAACGUCGAGUUAAGGCGCCUAAAUCGACGCUCAUGUGAAACCAUGAAAGGCGUUGGUUGCUUAAGACAGCAG